UGAGAUGAUGCUGUUUAAGUGCUGCUGCUGGCAACUCUGUUUGUCAGUUUCCAUUAAACUGGCAACAGUAUUAGCUUUGUUUAUAUUUGGAACGGUAGAGCGAGCGAGACAGUAUGAAAAAAAAAACAAACCUAAACAUGUUAUUCUUAUAUUCCAACAUGGGAAAAACAGAGAGAUUUUUUCGGAUAUCAUCAAAUUAUGAUACAAAUAGAAGCGGUACAAUUAAGACCGGCAGCUGUUCGGAGUGGACGCCGGACUCAACAUACACCAUCAGAGCAGAAAUUCGAGAUUUUCUGUGGAAUUGGCUUUGGACAAUAUGUGCGAGGUUCCAAAAUACGGAGUUUAGAUCGGAUACGUGUAUCAAUUGAGACUGCAAUGAUGUUCAAUCAAUUGUAAAAUCUUGGGAAAUAAAUAAACGCAGAAUUCAAAACGAA